rnacentral:rRNA from 1 species
CUGGCGGCAGGCCUAACACAUGCAAGUCGAGCGGUAGAAGGAAGCUUGCUUCCUUUGAGAGCGGCGGACGGGUGAGUAAUGCCUAGGAAUCUGCCUGGUAGUGGGGGAUAACGUUCGGAAACGGACGCUAAUACCGCAUACGUCCUACGGGAGAAAGCAGGGGACCUUCGGGCCUUGCGCUAUCAGAUGAGCCUAGGUCGGAUUAGCUUGUUGGUGAGGUAAUGGCUCACCAAGGCAACGAUCCGUAACUGGUCUGAGAGGAUGAUCAGUCACACUGGAACUGAGACACGGUCCAGACUCCUACGGGAGGCAGCAGUGGGGAAUAUUGGACAAUGGGGGAAACCCUGAUCCAGCCAUGCCGCGUGUGUGAAGAAGGUCUUAGGAUUGUAAAGCACUUUAAGUUGGGAGGAAGGGUUAUAGCCUAAUACGCUGUAACUUUGACGUUACCGACAGAAUAAGCACCGGCUAACUCUGUGCCAGCAGCCGCGGUAAUACAGAGGGUGCAAGCGUUAAUCGGAAUUACUGGGCGUAAAGCGCGCGUAGGUGGCAAAGUAAGAUGGGUGUGAAAUCCCCGGGCUCAACCUGGGAACUGCAUCCAUAACUGCUUCGCUAGAGUACGGUAGAGGGUAGUGGAAUUUCCUGUGUAGCGGUGAAAUGCGUAGAUAUAGGAAGGAACACCAGUGGCGAAGGCGACUACCUGGACUGAUACUGACACUGAGGUGCGAAAGCGUGGGGAGCAAACAGGAUUAGAUACCCUGGUAGUCCACGCCGUAAACGAUGUCAACUAGCCGUUGGGAACCUUGAGUUCUUAGUGGCGCAGCUAACGCACUAAGUUGACCGCCUGGGGAGUACGGUCGCAAGAUUAAAACUCAAAUGAAUUGACGGGGGCCCGCACAAGCGGUGGAGCAUGUGGUUUAAUUCGAAGCAACGCGAAGAACCUUACCUGGCCUUGACAUGCUGAGAACUUU